UGCCUGAGUUUAAGGCCUUCGCCUUUCUGC
rnacentral:piRNA from 1 species